UCCGGUUUAUCACCGGCAGUAUCCUUAGAGUUCCCGCCAUGACGCGCUGGUAACUAAGAAUAGGGGUUGCGCUCGUUACGGGACUUAACCCAACAUUUCACAACACGAGCUGACGACAGCCAUGCAGCACCUGUCUCUGGGUUCCCGAAGGCACCCUCACUAUUACGUGAGGUUCCCAGGAUGUCAAGAGUAGGUAAGGUUCUUCGCGUACCAUCGAAUUAAACCACAUGCUCCACCGCUUGUGCGGGUCCCCGUCAAUUCCUUUGAGUUUUAACCUUGCGGCCGUACUCCCCAGGCGGAGAACUUAUCGCGUUAGCUGCGACACUAAGCUCUCAUUGGAGCCUAACGUCUAGUUCUCAUCGUUUACGGCGUGGACUAC
rnacentral:misc_RNA from 1 species